rnacentral:rRNA from 1 species
UACAGAGGUCUCGAGCGUUGUUCGGAUUCAUUGGGCGUAAAGGGCGCGUGAGGCGGGCGGGCAAGUCGGGUGUGAAAUCUCAGAGCUCAACUCUGAAACUGCACUCGAUACUGCUUUGCUUGAGGACUGGAGAGGAGAUUGGAAUUCACGGUGUAGCAGUGAAAUGCGUAGAUAUCGUGAGGAAGACCAGUGGCGAAGGCGGAUCUCUGGACAGUUCCUGACGCUGAGGCGCGAAGGCCAGGGGAGCAAACGGG